GACGAACGCUGGCGGCGUGCUUAACACAUGCAAGUCGAGCGGUAAGGCCUUCGGGUACACGAGCGGCGAACGGGUGAGUAACACGUGGGUGAUCUGCCCUGCACUCUGGGAUAAGCUUGGGAAACUGGGUCUAAUACUGGAUAUGACCUCAUGCUGCAUGGUGUGGGGUGGAAAGAUUUAUUGGUGCAGGAUGGGCCCGCGGCCUAUCAGCUUGUUGGUGGGGUAAUGGCCUACCAAGGCGACGACGGGUAGCCGGCCUGAGAGGGCGACCGGCCACACUGGGACUGAGACACGGCCCAGACUCCUACGGGAGGCAGCAGUGGGGAAUAUUGCACAAUGGGCGGAAGGCUGAUGCAGCGACGCCGCGUGAGGGAUGACGGCCUUCGGGUUGUAAACCUCUUUCAGUAGGGACGAAGCGUGAGUGACGGUACCUACAGAAGAAGCACCGGCCAACUACGUGCCAGCAGCCGCGGUAAAAC
rnacentral:rRNA from 1 species